UUUUACCAGUACCCAUUAGGUGAAGACUGAAAGGCUGUGCUAUUUACACCCCCUACUCCACCCCCUGCUGUUUCUGGGAAGGCCGGCAGCUACAGGACAGCAGACGGCAGGAUUUAGGGCUGACGGAGACACGUUAGCAGCACCCGCUCGGGUUCCCCGUCAGCAGAGGGCACUUCCAGCACCCCGGGAAGCGGCCGCUUCAGCCGCUAUGUGUUUGGAGGCGGCUGCUGCAUGCAAACCUCUCAGGAGGCAGCAGAGAGUGCUGUUCAAUAAGCAGUUGUUACCAGUUUGGUUCUCGUCUUAACGAAAAAUCGAAGAGGAAAACAUGGAAGAGGGAUAAAGAAUUUCUGGGCUCUUUCUGCUCAUCGAAAAGAGUCCUCUGUCCUCUGCAAGUGCUGAUAUGGGACCAAAAAAAGACACGAAGGGACAUGGUUAGUGAGCAUGGUGGUGAUGGGGUCGAGGGUUGGACUAAAUGAUCUUAGCAGUCUUUUCCAGCCUCAUGAUUGUAUGAUUCUUUGAUCAGCUAGCAUUUUACAAGCCUUUGCACUUGGCCAGUCUGUUUCUCCUGCCUGGUUGUCUCAGCUGCAGUUGCUUAAAGGCCAGCAGGUGGGCAUACAGGGCAGACCCACAGCACGGCACAGGGAAGGUACCAACUGCCUGCUACCAAAUCCAGGGUUCAGUCCUUCAAAGUUCCUCCUCUGCUGUUACCUGGCUGUGCAGGCAGGUGAAACACGUUAUCUCAUAGACCUCAGAGAUAAACAAGCAAAAUAAAUCCUUCACACCAACUAGAGCUUGUGGCUUUUCUUCUCAGGAGACAAAAGAAGAGGAAAACCCUAAUGGUAAAAAGAAGAUGAAAACAGAUCUUGUCACACCUGAUGAGGUAGCGGAGGAAUUGGAAAGUUCCAGCUAAGGCCACUGAAUCAAAAUGAAAGAAGGGAAGCCAGAGAAAGGAAACUGCAAAAGUAAAACAGUUGGGAACUAAACUUGAAUAUAUGAGUUUAACUCCCAGUGUAGCAACUAAUGUUUAUAGGCAAACACAUCUUACUUUCUCUAUUAAUAAUAAGUUCAAAAAGUCCCACUUCUGGUAGAAUAGGUUGAAAGAAUUAUUCUCAGUGAAAGUGACACUUUGGAGAGGACUCUACGUAGAAGGAUUUAAUUUACCAUCUGCUCUUGAUUUGAGGCUGACUAGCAAUUUUAAUAUAUAUUUUUCUCCAGUAUGAAAUAUUUUCUUCAGCUUGCAAUUUCCAAAAUUUCUAACCUGUGUAGACAAACAAUCUAUGAAUUCUUUAAUAAAAGAUUUUAAAAAAUG
rnacentral:lncRNA from 1 species